GACGAACGCUGGCGGCGUGCUUAACACAUGCAAGUCGAACGCUGAAGCUCAGCUUUUGUUGGGUGGAUGAGUGGCGAACGGGUGAGUAACACGUGAGUAACCUGCCUCCUUCUUUGGGAUAACGCCCGGAAACGGGUGCUAAUACUGGAUAUUCACUGGUCUUCGCAUGGGGGUUGGUGGAAAGGGUUUUUCUGGUGGGGGAUGGGCUCGCGGCCUAUCAGCUUGUUGGUGGGGUGAUGGCCUACCAAGGCUUUGACGGGUAGCCGGCCUGAGAGGGUGACCGGUCACAUUGGGACUGAGAUACGGCCCAGACUCCUACGGGAGGCAGCAGUGGGGAAUAUUGCACAAUGGGCGCAAGCCUGGUGCAGCGACGCCGCGUGAGGGAUGGAGGCCUUCGGGUUGUGAACCUCUUUCGCUCAUGGUCAAGCCGCAACAAUGGUUGUGGUGAGGGUAGUGGGUAAAGAAGCGCCGGCUAACUACGUG
rnacentral:rRNA from 1 species